UCUCUAGAAUCCCAGCAUGGUGUACUGCCGUUGUAAGCAUACCUUUAAAAGAAUAAGUAUGCCACUAUGAUUAAACCCACCUCAUAUACAUCAGGUCAAAGUGCAGCCCAUAAGAAGGUGAUGAUGGGUUACAACCCUAAAAAAGACUAUCAACUAAGACAUAAAAAAUCCUACGAAAGUGGACUUGGCCGUAAUUAAUUUACAGAUUAAAAAAAUGAAUUAAAAUCUAAGACAUGCACACAUCGCCCGUCACUCUACCCUAAAGGUUAGAUAAGUCGUAACAAAGUAGGUGUAAUGGAAAUUGCACCUGUCGGAGUAUAGCAUACAUAAUGCUUUUUACUUACACUAAAAAUAAAGUUCUUAACUUACCCCGCCCACAUGAUAAUAUCCUCUAAAAUGUAAUAAAAUGAAAACAAUUAUAUAUGUCAAUUAACUAAUAAAGUACAGAAAUGGAAAAAAUAAUAAAUAAAAGUAAAUCUUAAUAAGUGUACCUUGUGCAUUAUGGUUUUACAAGAAAACAAUUAAAAAUUUUAAUCCCGAAUUCUAAGUGAGAUGUUAAACUACUGUUAGCGAACCCAUUAAUAGCUGUAGAAUAAGCUUUAAAAGAUAGUUUAACAGAGGCUACAUACCAUACGCACAAGAAUAUAGCUGGUUUUUAACAAAAAUUAUACAUUAAAACAUAUAGUUGUAUUAUAGUGUAAUAUUACUAAGGAUAAGCCUAGUAAUUUAAGCAAUUAAAUUAACAAAUCUAUUACCUAUUUUAGGCCUAAAAUCAGCCAACUAAAUUACUUCACCGUAAUCAAUAAAGAUAAAAUACAUGAUAUGACAUGCUAAAGAAAGUUAAAAUUACGGAUAAAUUAAUUUGUUACGUAUAUACUAUGUAAAAAUAAGUAUUAUUAAACUAAAAUAACUAUCAACCUGGCAAGUGACAACACAUAAAACAGUAAUAAUUAAUUAAGGAACUCGGCAAAUAAUUAUUUCGACUGUUUAACAAAAACAUUGUCUCAUGAAUAAAAUAUGAGAU
rnacentral:rRNA from 1 species